AGUGAACGCUGGCGGUAGGCCUAACACAUGCAAGUCGAACGGCAGCACAGUAAGAGCUUGCUCUUACGGGUGGCGAGUGGCGGACGAGUGAGGAAUACAUCGGAAUCUACUUUUUCGUGGGGGAUAACGUAGGGAAACUUACGCUAAUACCGCAUACGACCUACGGGUGAAAGCAGGGGAUCUUCGGACCUUGCGCGAUUGAGUGAGCCGAUGUCGGAUUAGCUAGUUGGCGGGGCAAAGGCCCACCAAGGCGACGAUCCGUAGCUGGUCUGAGAGGAUGAUCAGCCACACUGGAACUGAGACACGGUCCAGACUCCUACGGGAGGCAGCAGUGGGGAAUAUUGGACAAUGGGCGCAAGCCUGAUCCAGCCAUACCGCGUGGGUGAAGAAGGCCUUCGGGUUGUAAAGCCCUUUUGUUGGGAAAGAAAAGCAGCAGGUUAAUACCCCGCUGUUCUGACGGUACCCAAAGAAUAAGCACCGGCUAACUUCGUG
rnacentral:rRNA from 1 species